GAUCUGCGAUUACUAGCGACUCCGACUUCAUGGGGUCGAGUUGCAGACCCCAAUCCGAACUGAGGCCGGCUUUUUGGGAUUCGCUCCACCUCACAGUUUCGCAACCCAUUGUACCGACCAUUGUAGCAUGCUUGAAGCCCAAGACAUAAGGGGCAUGAUGAUUUGACGUCGUCCCCACCUUCCUCCGAGUUGACCCCGGCAGUCUCCUAUGAGUCCCCACCAUCACGUGCUGGCAACAUAGAACGAGGGUUGCGCUCGUUGCGGGACUUAACCCAACAUCUCACGACACGAGCUGACGACAACCAUGCACCACCUGUGCACCAGUCCAAAGAAAGCCACAUCUCUGCAGCCGUCCAGUGCAUGUCAAGCCUUGGUAAGGUUCUUCGCGUUGCAUCGAAUUAAUCAGCAUGCUCCGCCGCUUGUGCGGGCCCCCGUCAAUUCCUUUGAGUUUUAGCCUUGCGGCCGUACUCCCCAGGCGGGGCACUUAAUGCGUUAGCUACGGCGCGGAAAACGUGGAAUGUCCCCCACACCUAGUGCCCAACGUUUACGGCAUGGACUACCAGGGUAUCUAAUCCUGUUCGCUACCCAUGCUUUCGCUUCUCAGUGUCAGUAAUGGCCCAGAGACCUGCCUUCGCCAUCGGUGUUCUUCCUGAUAUCUGCGCAUUUCACCGCUACACCAGGAGUUCCAGUCUCCCCUACCACACUCUAGCCUGCCCGUACCCACCGCACGCCCGAGGUUGAGCCUCGGGUUUUCACGGCAGACGCGACAAGCCACCUACAAGCUCUUUACGCCCAAUAAUUCCGGACAACGCUUGCGCCCUACGUAUUACCGCGGCUGCUGGCACGUAGUUAGCCGGCGCUUCUUCUGCAGGUACCGUCACUCUCGCUUCUUCCCUACUGAAAGGGGUUUACAACCCGAAGGCCGUCAUCCCCCACGCGGCGUCGCUGCAUCAGGCUUUCGCCCAUUGUGCAAUAUUCCCCACUGCUGCCUCCCGUAGGAGUCUGGGGCCGUGUCUCAAUCCCCAGUGUGGGCCGGGCGGCCCUCUCA
rnacentral:rRNA from 1 species